CUCUGUGAGGAACUCAGGCGUCCUGGCUUCACAGCCUAGGUGGGGACAGGGUCUAUGGGAAACAGGGCCAGGUUGGGAAGUCUAGCUUCACCCUUAUGGUCCCCAUGGCCACACCCAGGCCCUUUCUUUCUGAGUCCCCUGGGUAUUGAAAGCCUGUGAAGAUCACCCCCAUCAUUUCCCUGUGUUGCUUCUUGGUUUCAUUUACAAGGGGCAGCUGCACUGAAGAGCAAAAGAGGCUGACAGAGGUUGAUCGCUGGAGUCACACAGGAAUCCUGAUGGAAAUGCAGGAGAGGCUCAGAACCCAGGUAAGGUGAGCACAUGGGCACACACAGACACUCCCCCACACGCACACUGAGAGAGGUCACAGAAUUGACUGAAGACAGGCAGACAGGCCCGGGUAUUACCAAAUUUAGGGUUCCAUCUGUACCCCAAGAAGUUAGCUUCAGGGAUUGGAGACAUAGUUCCAUAGUUAAGUGCAUGUACUGCUAUUGUACAGUGUGGUGGCUUGAAUAUGCUUGGCCCAGAGAAUGGCACUAUUAGGAGGUGUGGUCUUAUUGGAGUAGGUGUGGCCUUGUUGAACUCCUGGAGCUGUGUCACUGAGGGUGUGGGCUUUGAGACCUUUCUCCUAGCUGCCUGAAAAAAGACAGUCUUCUCCUGACUGUCUUCGGAUCAAGAUGUAGAACUCUUGGCUCCUUCUCCUGAACCAUGUCUGCCUGGAUGCUGCCAUGCUCCCACCUUGAUGAUAAUGGACUGAACCUCUGAUCCUGUAAGCCAGCCCUAAUUAAAUGUUGUCCUUUAUAAGAGUU
rnacentral:lncRNA from 1 species